UGAACUCGUUACCUGUAUAAAAGACACCUGUCCACACACUCAUUCAAACAGACUCCAACCUCUCCACAAUGGCCAAGACCAGAGAGCAGUGUAAGGACAUCAGGGAUACAACUGUAGACCUGCACAAGGCUGGGAUGGGCUACAGGACAAUAGGCAAGCAGCUUGGUGAGAAGGUGAGGGAUCAGCCCAGAACUACACGGCAGGACCUGGUCAAUGACCUGAAGAGAGCUGGGACCACAGUCUCAAAGAAAACCAUUAGUAACAAACUAUGCCGUCAUGGAUUAAAAUCCUGCAG